rnacentral:misc_RNA from 1 species
UCGUAGCCCGGCUAACCGCUAUAUCUUCUUGCAGUCUAGUUUUUUAGAACUAGACUGCAAGAAGAUAUAGCGGUUAGCCGGAAAUAGC